UACAGAGGUCUCGAGCGUUAGGCGGAAUCACUGGGCUUAAAGCGUGUGUAGGCGGAUCGUUAAGUACCUUGUGAAAUCCCACGGCUUAACCGUGGAAUUGCUGGGUAUACUGGCGGUCUUGAGCCACUUAGGGGCUACCGGAACAAAUGGUGGAGCGGUGAAAUGCGUAGAUAUCAUUUGGAACGCCAAUGGUGAAAACAGGUAGCUGGGAGUGUGCUGACGCUGAGACACGAAAGCGUGGGGAGCGAACAGG
rnacentral:rRNA from 1 species